ACCAGGUCUUGACAUCCCGUUGACCACUGUAGAGAUAUAGUUUCCCCUUCGGGGGCAACGGUGACAGGUGGUGCAUGGUUGUCGUCAGCUCGUGUCGUGAGAUGUUGGGUUAAGUCCCGCAACGAGCGCAACCCUUGAUCUUAGUUGCCAUCAUUUAGUUGGGCACUCUAAGGUGACUGCCGGUGACAAACCGGAGGAAGGUGGGGAUGACGUCAAAUCAUCAUGCCCCUUAUGACCUGGGCUACACACGUGCUACAAUGGACGAUACAAACGGUUGCCAACUCGCGAGAGGGAGCUAAUCCGAUAAAGUCGUUCUCAGUUCGGAUUGUAGGCUGCAACUCGCCUACAUGAAGCCGGAAUCGCUAGUAAUCGCGGAUCAGCAUGCG
rnacentral:rRNA from 1 species